rfam:Triticum aestivum genome assembly, contig: Triticum_aestivum_CS42_TGACv1_scaffold_030350_1BL
CUUGUACUCCCUCCGUCCCAUAUUAGUUGUCGCUGAAAUGGAUAUAUCUAGAUGUAUUUCAGUGCUAGAUCUAUCCCUUUGAGCGACAACUACUAUGGGACAGAGGGAGUAGUUU